rnacentral:rRNA from 1 species
UGCCAGCCGCCGCGGUAAUACGGAGGGUGCAAGCGUUAAUCGGAAUUACUGGGCGUAAAGCGUGUGUAGGCGGUCUGCUAAGUCGGAUGUGAAAGCCCCGGGCUUAACCUGGGAAUUGCAUUGGAUACUGGCAGUCUUGAGUAUGGGAGAGGAAAGUGGAGUUCCGAGUGUAGGAGUGAAAUCCGUAGAUAUUCGGAGGAACACCAGUGGCGAAGGCGGCUUUCUGGACCAAUACUGACGCUGAGAUGCGAAAGCGUGGGGAGCGAACAGGAUUAGAUA